rnacentral:rRNA from 1 species
AGAUGAGAUCAUAGCAGCACUAAAGCACCGGAUCCCAUCAGAACUCCGCAGAUAAGCAUCCUUGGGCGAGAGUAGUACUAGGAUGGGUGACCUCCUGGGAAGUCCUCGUGUUGCACUUC